rnacentral:rRNA from 1 species
GACGAACGCUGGCGGCGUGCCUAAUACAUGCAAGUAGAACGCUGAAGGAGGAGCUUGCUUCUCUGGAUGAGUUGCGAACGGGUGAGUAACGCGUAGGUAACCUGCCUGGUAGCGGGGGAUAACUAUUGGAAACGAUAGCUAAUACCGCAUAAUAGUAGAUGUUGCAUGACAUUUGCUUAAAAGGUGCAAUUGCAUCACUACCAGAUGGACCUGCGUUGUAUUAGCUAGUUGGUGGGGUAACGGCUCACCAAGGCGACGAUACAUAGCCGACCUGAGAGGGUGAUCGGCCACACUGGGACUGAGACACGGCCCAGACUCCUACGGGAGGCAGCAGUAGGGAAUCUUCGGCAAUGGACGGAAGUCUGACCGAGCAACGCCGCGUGAGUGAAGAAGGUUUUCGGAUCGUAAAGCUCGGUUGUAAGAGAAGAACGAGUGUGAGAGUGGAAAGUUCACACUGUGACGGUAUCUUACCAGAAAGGGACGGCUAACUACGUG